rnacentral:misc_RNA from 1 species
GAAAUGCGAUAAGUAAUGUGAAUUGCAGAAUUCAGUGAAUCAUCGAAUCUUUGAACGCACAUUGCGCUCGCCAGUAUUCUGGCGAGCAUGCCUGUUCGAGCGUCAUUUCAACCAUCAAGCUCUGCUUGCGUUGGGGAUCCGCGGCUGCCCGCGGUCCCUCAAAAACAGUGGCGGGCUCGCUAGUCACACCGAGCGUAGUAACUCUACAUCGCUAUGGUCGUGCGGCGGGUUCUUGCCGUAAAACCCCCAAUUUCUAAGGUUGACCUCGGAUCAGGUAGGAAUACCCGCUGAACUUAAUC